UGAUGCAGCGACGCCGCGUGAGGGAUGACGGCCUUCGGGUUGUAAACCUCUUUCAGUAGGGAAGAAGCGAAAGUGACGGUACCUGCAGAAGAAGCGCCGGCUAACUACGUGCCAGCAGCCGCGGUAAUACGUAGGGCGCAAGCGUUAUCCGGAAUUAUUGGGCGUAAAGAGCUCGUAGGCGGUUUGUCGCGUCUGCCGUGAAAGUCCGGGGCUCAACUCCGGAUCUGCGGUGGGUACGGGCAGACUAGAGUGAUGUAGGGGAGACUGGAAUUCCUGGUGUAGCGGUGAAAUGCGCAGAUAUCAGGAGGAACACCGAUGGCGAAGGCAGGUCUCUGGGCAUUAACUGACGCUGAGGAGCGAAAGCAUGGGGAGCGAACAGGAUUAGAUACCCUGGUAGUCCAUGCCGUAAACGUUGGGCACUAGGUGUGGGGGACAUUCCACGUUUUCCGCGCCGUAGCUAACGCAUUA
rnacentral:rRNA from 1 species